GAAACCCAGUGUGAUUCGUCACACUAUCAUUAACUGAAUCCAUAGGUUAAUGAGGCGAACCGGGGGAACUGAAACAUCUAAGUACCCCGAGGAAAAGAAAUCAACCGAGAUUCCCCCAGUAGCGGCGAGCGAACGGGGAGGAGCCCAGAGCCUGAAUCAGCAUGUGUGUUAGUGGAAGCGUCUGGAAAGGCGCGCGAUACAGGGUGACAGCCCCGUACACAAAAGCGCAUGUGCUGUGAGCUCGAUGAGUAGGGCGGGACACGUGGUAUCCUGUCUGAAUAUGGGGGGACCAUCCUCCAAGGCUAAAUACUCCUGACUGACCGAUAGUGAACCAGUACCGUGAGGGAAAGGCGAAAAGAACCCCGGCGAGGGGAGUGAAAAAGAACCUGAAACCGUGUACGUACAAGCAGUGGGAGCACAGGUUUACCUGUGUGACUGCGUACCUUUUGUAUAAUGGGUCAGCGACUUAUAUUCUGUAGCAAG
rnacentral:rRNA from 1 species